UACACACCGCCCGUCACACCAUGGGAGUCGGCUGCACCAGAAGUAGGUUGCCUAACCUUCGGGAGGGCACUUACCACGGUGUGGUCGAUGACUGGGGUG
rnacentral:rRNA from 1 species